UGCGGGUUAAUGUAAUAGUAACAUAUAUGGCUCAUGCCCAUAAAAUUUAGGUGCAACCCCUAAGUCCGCAA
rfam:Penicillium oxalicum 114-2 unplaced genomic scaffold scaffold_9, whole genome shotgun sequence.